rnacentral:rRNA from 1 species
UACGGGAGGUGCAAGCGUUAUCCGGAUUCACUGGGUUUAAAGGGUGCGUAGGCGGGCAGGUAAGUCCGUGGUGAAAUCUCUGAGCUUAACUCAGAAACUGCCAUGGAUACUAUUUGUCUUGAAUAUUGUGGAGGUGAGCGGAAUAUGUCAUGUAGCGGUGAAAUGCUUAGAUAUGACAUAGAACACCAAUUGCGAAGGCAGCUCACUACACAAUUAUUGACGCUGAGGCACGAAAGCGUGGGGAUCAAACAGGAUUAGAUACCCCGGUAGUC